GCCAGUGCAGGAGACAUGGGUUCAGUCCUUGGGUUGGGAAGAUCCCCUGGAGGAGGAAAUGACAACCGACUCCACUAUUCUCGCCUGAGAAAUCCUGUGGAGAGAGGAGCCUGGCAGGCUACAGUCCAUAGGGUCACAAAGAGUCAGACACAACUGAGCAUGC